CGGCGCCGGGCGAGCGGAGGCGGGGAACGGUGUGGGCGCGAGGCCGGGCGCGUGUGGGGGCUUGCGAGUGGGGCAGUGGGUGCCGUGACUGUGAAGGCGCUGGGCGGGCGUGCGCGCGCGCGAGGCGGCGGGUCUGUGCCUGUGCCGGGGGGGCCCCGUGUGUGCGGUAUGCGCCCGGGACGGGGUGCGGGGCUGUGCCUGGAACGGACGGCUUCCGGGGCCGGGCCCCACCUGGCGGGCGCCGGCAGUCGUCGGGCUGCCUGUGCGGUGGCCGAGGCAAACUGCCGGGGCCGUCUCACCCCAGAGGUGGAGGGUGGGUGUCGGGAGGGCGCUAGACGUCGCAGGGCCCCGCGGCUGAGUUCGGGGCAGCGGCCGCUUCCCGUAGCCCAGGGUCACCUGGCAGCCUAGGAGCAGAAUGGAGAUUCCGAUUCAGGCUCUCACCUUUAAGUCCCGGAUCCUCAUUUUGACCUGUCUGGCCCAGCCGCAGUCUGACUCUCGCAGAACGCUGUUGGGACAAGGGCUUUGCGGCCAGAGAUCAAGAAAUCUGGCUUCCAGUCCAGGCCCUGCCAGCCAGCCGCUGAGAAACCUGGGCGCGUUCGCACCGUGCUGUCUUGGCCUCAGGGUCCUGGCUGAAACAGAGUUGGUGCGAUUCUGCCUGUACUGGCAGCAGCUGGCCGAGUGCUUUCGGGCUGGGAAACUCCACAGAGGUGAAGAAUUAACGUUAACGAGUUUGCACGUGUCGUCCGAGCCUUCUCCAGUCUCAUGUACGCUAUUAAUUUACUCGGCCAAAGAGUCCUCUGUGAUGCUGAGAUAACCCUCACUCCUGCUCUCACCUGGAUUUGUCGUAAAUUGCAGGCUGGUGUGUCGUG